rnacentral:rRNA from 1 species
CGGGUGAGUAAUACAUCGGAACGUGUCCUCUAGUGGGGGAUAACUGCCCGAAAGGGCAGCUAAUACCGCAUGAGACCUGAGGGUGAAAGCGGGGGAUCGCAAGACCUCGCGCUGGAAGAGCGGCCGAUGUCCGAUUAGCUAGUUGGUGAGGUAAAGGCUCACCAAGGCGACGAUCGGUAGCUGGUCUGAGAGGACGACCAGCCACACUGGGACUGAGACACGGCCCAG